CACGGCGAACAGCGGCCUGACCUGACCGACAUGAACGACAGAGCAGCCGCACUGAUUUAGCAUGCCCAUGAGGACCUCUUGUGGUCAUUUGAAGUACUACCGCUGUGCUCUCUGCAUAGUAUGUGACGCUCAACUCUGAGGGAAGAAGGAAAAAAAAUGUUUGUGUUGAAAUAAUUAUUCCUUCUUCUACCGUUUCACCAUUUCUGGGUCUUGGAGAGAGGACGAGGUUACACCCUGGUCACAGCCCCGGAGCCUGUCUUACCACCCAGAAACGUAGGGACGUCCAGGAGUUUGAAGGUCUUGUCCCGCUCCAGUUUGUUGGGCCGGUCCGUGUGCUGGGCCGUCGGGCCGCUCCAGUACACCCUGCCCUGGCAGAA